UACGUGGAAGUUUCGCUGCUAUCGAGAGGAUCAAUUCCAUUUUAAAUGCAGUGGACAUAGAUGAGGCUCUUGCCUACGGGCUAGAAAGAGAUAUACAUACAAAGAAAGUCCAAGAUGAAAACCUUAGAUUGUUCUUGUCUUCUGGUCCUAACGUGAAUAUCCGUCACCUCGAUAAGUACUACAUGUCAGAUCUGAAAUCAACGAACAAUCUACGUACCUUGACUUGGGCAGGAGAUGUCUGUCUUGACGGUAAAAUCAGACCAAGAAAACUCUCCUCAUGUUGUUAUACUUCAAGAUUCCCCAAACCUCCCUUGAACUGAGGUUGUACUGCUUUCUAAGCUGAGGGUUUUCCAUUUUCUAAUUUUGUCUAGUGUAGAUUUGCAUUUUGCUUAUCCCCUACGACCCGAUGUGAAAGUUCUUGAUGGGUUCAAUUUGACGUUGAGAGCUGGGACCGUAACUGCUCUUGUUGGCUCUAGUGGUGCGGGAAAAAGUACUAUUGUACAGUUAUUGGCACGCUUCUAUGAGGUUAAUCGACUCCCCCUCUUCCCAUUUGAAGUCUGUAAAGACUAAUUCUGAAGCCGCUUUUACAUCAUGCUGAUGGGUUUGAGUUUCCGAUUUUCGCCAGCCCACACAAGGACGUAUUACUGUGGCUGGAGAGGAUGUGAGGAUGUUUGACAAGAGUGAAUGGGCUAAGGUUAUCUCAAUUGUGAAUCAGGUGUGUACCCGUAACAUGUAUUGUGUCAGACUUGGUCGGAUUAUAAUCUUACCUGUGUGACCUCAGGAACCCGUUCUCUUUUCUCUUUCUGUGGCCGAGAAUAUUGCAUAUGGUCUCCCUAAUGAUCUUGUGUCCAAGGACGACAUCAUUAAGGCAGCCAAAGCUGCCAACGCUCAUGAAUUCAUAAUCUCACUUCCCCAGGUUCGGAUUCCACGUGGUGGCUCCGGUGCGCCGCUCGGGAUUCCGCUGAAGGCGAAAUCGGUCGGAUUGGCUCGCGCUUACGUCACCGGAGCGCCGCCGAUCGUGGGAGAAGAGGACCCUAAGAUCGAUGGAUCGAAAUCGGAGCCCGAGAAGGAGGAAUCGAAGGAUUUGAUCAAGUGGGGGCUUGUGUGGAGCUUGAUGAGCAAGCACAAGCUCAGGCUCGUUGUUUGCUUAUUGACUCUGGUUGGAUGCAGCACUUGCACUCUCUCGAUGCCUGUGUUUUCUGGUAAUCGAGUUCUUGGAUUCAGCCUCACGCUCCUCUAUUGUGAUUGUUUAUUUUAAUGAUUAGGAGGUUUUGGGUUACAAUCUCUAGACGAAGUCCAAACCAGUUCUCCUGGAGAACAGAUCGGUUCCGGUGGAAUUGAACCUAUGACCAUUUAGAUCCAUAAUAGGAAAUUAAAAAAAAUUAGUUAGAGCAUUUUCAACCAUCUAGUUCUCUUAAAAUAUAGAGAUUGCUAUUUUUCCUUCUAUUUGUAGAGGAAGAUAUAACAUUCCUCUAUAUUUAGAGUUUGCUAUUUAAAAAAAAAAAAAUACAUUGGAAGACAUCAAAUGUCUGUUAUAGAGUUCAUCUAUUUCAGAGAAAAAAAUAGCAAUAUACGUUGAAGAUAAUUUUAGUAGGCAACUUCUCGUUGGUUUAGUUAUUGUGAUUGUAGUAUGCUAAUGCGGGAUUGGCUUAAUUUUUCUAUUUUUCAUUAGGGAAAUGAUUGCCAUCUACAAGAAUUAUAAGCUACAUAACCACACAUGAAGAUGUUAAUAAUAUAACAUAUAAUAAUUCAUGGAUGUUUUGUUUGUGUAGUUUCAAAUAUAUUAUUUUUGUUCAUGUGUGUUAUGUAUUUCGUUCGUGUAGCUGAGAUUUUAUUUUAUUUGUUGAUUGAGUUAAACAUGUGUUGAUUCUUUGUGACAAAUAAUGGCAAGUGUUAUGUUUGGAGCUGUAAAGGUAGAUUCUUUGAAGUGUUGAUUGGCGUGCGGCCGGAUCCUCUGUGGCAGCUUCUGAGCAAAAUCGCUGUUCUGUAUUCUUUGGAACCCAUCUUUACUAUUGUUUUUGUAACCAACAUGAAUGCUAUCUGGGAAAGCGUUAUGGCAACGUUACGAGCUCAGAUUUUCAGAAGGGUUUUGAUCCAGAAGGUAUGGUUUGUUUCCUGUGAUCAUAAUUUGCCAGAUGUUUAUCACCUGAAUGAAUAUCAUUGUGAUAGCUGCUUUCUUUUUGUAUUUGCAGGCAGAGUUUUUCGACAAAUAUAAGGUUUGUCUUUUUUUUCUUCUUUGUUUUUUUGUCUCUUGGUCUGUUCAGGUUUGGGACUUUUGGGCUGAGUUCAUUAAUUGUAGGUAGGAGAGUUGACGGGGCUGCUUACGUCUGAUCUUGGCGCUCUGAAUAGCAUUGUGAAUGAUAACAUCUCAAGAGACCGUGGAUUUAGGGCAUUUUCUGAGGCAAGCCAUUUCUUUACUAUGCAAAUGUGAGAUUGGUGUUUGUGCUUCCACUUUGCAUAAUGAAUACAGACUUAAUCUUAGCCUGGUGUUGUGUUGGUCGUAUUUUUGGAGUUCUAUACAUGACAAAGAGUAUCCGGUUGCAUCUCAAGAAUGCCCAGCUCUUAUGGCUUAUCUUUUGUAUAUUUGUAGGUUUUUGGAACAAUCUGCAUUUUGUUCACCCUAUCUCCUCAACUUGCACCUGUGCUUGGUCUAUUGAUGCUCGCUGUAUCAGUUUUAGUUGGUAAAUUCUCAGGCCUUGCUCAUUUUUCCUGAACUUAUUGUUUGGUACACCUUGGUCAUCUCUGCUUACCUUUAAAUCUGCUCAUUUGGUCAAAAGCUGUGUACAAAAGAUCGACGGUUCCUGUUUAUAAAGCACAUGGAUUAGCCCAAGCGACAAUGUCUGAUUGUGUAUCAGAAACGUUCUCUGCAAUUCGGACUGUAAGUUCUUGACUUCAUCGUGUUUGUAUUUUUUGGGCAGGUUGACUAUAUAAACUUUUGAUUUUCCUUUUAACGAAGCAAGUAUUUUUAUCUCUUCAUAGGUAAGAUCGUUCAGUGGUGAAAAACGUCAGAUGUCUCUUUUUGGUAGUCAGGUUACAUUUCAGACUUCUUACUAGCUAAAAGUCAAUUGUCUAAACAAUUCUUGUUUUUUUCCUAUCUGUUCCAUGAUCUUUUAUUCUAACCAUCUGUUUGAUUUACAGAUUCUUGCUUUCCAGCGUAGCGGCUUAAAGCUUGGUACUUUCAAAUCUAUAAAUGAAUCUAUAACAAGAGUUGCUGUUUAUAUUUCUUUGUUGGCUCUAUACGCUCUUGGGGGAAGCAAGGUCAAGACGGUAAGAUAUGCCUGCCUGUAAGACUUUUUAAUUGCCAUAAUGGUUGAAAUAAAUCUUCUUGCACAUUAAGGCAAAAAGAGAAUGGUGAUUUGUUUAAUUUCUCUUUAUAGAAGAUCGUGUUAUUCUUCAUUCAUAUAUUCUGGAAUAAAUGACUGGAUGAGAACAAAAUUACUACCGUCAGAAAUUUAAUAGAUCAUCAAAACUAAACAAUCAGAUUUCUUUUAUCUCCCCUUUUGUGUUGUUUCUUAUGCUGUUACAUUUUCGCUCUUUUGCACUUUAUGUUUCUUGGUUCUUAUUCUUUGAGCUUUUUCCUACGCAGGGUGAGCUUGCUGUUGGAACAGUUGUUUCCUUCAUUGGAUACACAUUUACUCUAACGUUUGCUGUUAGUACCUCUAUCCACAUGCAUUUACUGUUAUCCAUAUGCUAUACAUGUAAUUUGGUUUUACCAUAAUCGUUUUUUGUUUUUGCCAGGUCCAAGGGCUUGUAAACACGUUUGGAGAUCUACGUGGAAGUUUCGCUGCUAUCGAGAGGAUCAAUUCCAUUUUAAAUGCAGUGGACAUAGAUGAGGCUCUUGCCUACGGGCUAGAAAGAGAUAUACAUACAAAGAAAGUCCAAGAUGAAAACCUUAGAUUGUUCUUGUCUUCUGGUCCUAACGUGAAUAUCCGUCACCUCGAUAAGUACUACAUGUCAGAUCUGAAAUCAACGAACAAUCUACGUACCUUGACUUGGGCAGGAGAUGUCUGUCUUGACGGUAAAAUCAGACCAAGAAAACUCUCCUCAUGUUGUUA
rnacentral:lncRNA from 1 species